UACGUAGGGGGCUAGCGUUGUCCGGAAUCAUUGGGCGUAAAGAGCGUGUAGGCGGCCCGGUAAGUCCGCUGUGAAAGUCGGGGGCUCAACCCUCGAAUGCCGGUGGAUACUGUCGGGCUAGAGUGCGGAAGAGGCGAGUGGAAUUCCUGGUGUAGCGGUGAAAUGCGCAGAUAUCAGGAGGAACACCGAUGGCGAAGGCAGGUCUCUGGGCAUUAACUGACGCUGAGGAGCGAAAGCGUGGGGAGCGAACAGG
rnacentral:rRNA from 1 species